GAUGAACGCUGGCGGCGUGCCUAAUACAUGCAAGUCGAGCGAACAGACGAGGAGCUUGCUCCUCUGACGUUAGCGGCGGACGGGUGAGUAACACGUGGAUAACCUACCUAUAAGACUGGGAUAACUUCGGGAAACCGGAGCUAAUACCGGAUAAUAUUUUGAACCGCAUGGUUCAAAAGUGAAAGACGGUCUUGCUGUCACUUAUAGAUGGAUCCGCGCUGCAUUAGCUAGUUGGUAAGGUAACGGCUUACCAAGGCAACGAUGCCUAGCCGACCUGAGGAGGGUGAUCGGCAACCCGGAACUUGAACACGGUCCCGGAUCCGACGGGGGGGAAGAAGAGGGAAACUUCCGCAAUGGGGCGAAGCCUUAACGGACAACGCCGGGGGGGGGAAUAAAGUCCUCCGGUUCGAAAACCCUUGUAAUUAGGAAAAACAAUAUGUGUAGGAACCUUUCACGUCUUGACGGUAACUAAACAAAAAGCCACGGCUAACUUCGUG
rnacentral:rRNA from 1 species